rnacentral:lncRNA from 1 species
AAGCAAUGUGAUUAACAGUCCUGGCCUGCUGCUUUUGGCUUACAUGCAUUUUUAGCUAGAUCUUCAGAGGAUAGGGAUUCUGUAUGAGAUACAUGCAGAAUCUCUCCUCCUAUUACCCUGUGAAUAAAAACAGAUGGGACCUCAGAGAAGGAUACCCUCCCCCUAAAUCGAUCACCUCACCAGCCCAGUGUUGUGGCUUUGUAGCACGCCCUCUAUCUACCGUAUUCUAGAACACUGUAAUGCUACUUUGCUGGCCCAGAAAAGAUUUAAAUGUUGAAUUCACUUACUGCAUAUGGUGCACUACCAUGCAAUCUUGAUGUAUAUUUUUAGUGGCAGUAGACCCCAAAAUGUAGCGACAAGUUGGGUCUUGGGUAUCAGGCCAUUUCAUCCUCAGACUUGUAGAAGUACAUUUUCUGGUCUUGAGACCUGUAUUUUUAGUUAUGUAUGCAACUGCCUUUAUUACACACCUGGUUAUCACAAUUCAAUUCUCAGGUGUUGCAGAAAAAAAAUCUACCUCUUUCAGACUGUAGAUGGAAAUAACUGUGAAAAAAUGAUGCAGAUAUCUUCUAGUUUGUGCUAAACACACUGCUUUAUUUUUACAGCCCACGUCUUUCAUGAGGAUAUGAAUUGUUAAGAGGCAGUCUUGUUUUGCUUUUCAAAGACAUUUUGUAGAGAUUUUUCACUAACGUGAAUCUGAUUUUAUCUACUCAAUUCUGUAGAGAUUAAGUAAAUAUGUAUGAUGAAUUU